UUCUCUAAAAAAAUCAUUACACGCGUAGCCGUCACUUGGCACCCGCUUCACUUUUCGUAUUGAGGGAAGAAGAGUUCUUUCUCAAAGAAGGUGAAAGAAAGUAACACAGUGCAGAUGUUUUCCAGAAUUCCAGAGAUGGGGAAGGCAAAGAAAGGCCCCAAAUUCGCAGUCAUGAAGAAAGUGAUCACCAAAAAAGCAAUCAAAAACUAUAAAGAGGAGGUCUUGAAUCCAAAGAAGAAGGAUAUCAGCAAAGAAAAACUGCCCAGAAAUGUGCCAAAUGUUUCUUCUGCUCUGUUCUUCAAGUACAACACUGCAUUAGGGCCGCCUUACUGGGUUUUGGUGGAUACCAACUUCAUCAAUUUCUCUAUCCAGGAUAAGUUGAAUUUGGAGAAAGGAAUGAUGGACUGCCUAUAUGCAAAAUGCACUCCAUGCAUCACAGAUUGUGUAAUGGCAGAACUUGAGAAGUUGGGUCAGAAAUAUCAUGUGGCUCUGAGGAUUGCAAAAGAUUCCCGUUUUGAGAGAUUAUUAUGUACUCAUAAAGGAACCUAUGCUGAUGACUGUCUUGUUGAAAGAGUCACCCUUACCUGAAGAGCACAUGUUUUAAAAUCACUAUGUUCAGCGUAGUUGAUAUUCUUUAACUCUUUUUGCAAACAAGUAUGUUUAAUUGUAGUGUGGCACUUUUAGCGGGUGGAGAAAGCCACAAAACAUGAAUUUUUUUCUGCUGUGGUUAUCUGUGGUGUGUAAGCUGUGUAAAUUUGUGUUUGUAUAGUAGUUAUCUGCUAGUCUGCAGGUGUCUUUUGAAAUUGUAGAAGUGUUGUAGGUGCAUGCUUCUGACAUUUAAAUCAAUUCAAUUUAUGUUUUUGUUUAUUCACAGUAUUUUUAUAUCGCAUUGAGGAUCUGUUUCGUAUUAUUUUAUCGCCUGGUCUUUCAGUGUUUUUAUUGCAGCUUAUUGGCAUUUUAAGGCAGUUGCGUGUAUAUUUUCUAUGACGGAUGUUAAUCUUCUUGUUGGAACAGCAUAAAUGCUACAUUGUGGCUACAUGUGAUCGAGACUUGAAAUGAAGGAUUCGAAAGAUCCUUGGUGACCAAUCAUGUACAUCACUCAGCACAAGUAUUCAAUUGAGCGGUUGCCUGAAGCAACAAUUGGUGGAGCUCCAAAAUAUUGAUGGAUGAGGAUGUGAUCUUGUUCUAGCAGACUGGUUCUGCCCUGUGAUUCACAUUGUAUUCUCAGACCAGCGACAAGGCGGUCUACUGGAGUCUGGAGAUGAUACCUAACAACCCAGGAUCAAUGUCGUCUGAGACUAAACACGCCCUUUUCAUCGACUUUCUCUAUAUAGGAUUUUAUUGAUAUGUGUAUGCUAUCUGUCAGAGAAGUAAUGAUCGAAGCUUAUAAUUUAUACACCAGUAAUAUGGAAUUUUUCUAGUUCAUGUUCAACUCUGCUAACUUUGAUAUCGAGUGGUGAACUGAUGAUUGUGUGAGAAAAAGCUACUAUUAUUCUUCAUUAUUUCAGACUGGUUUAGAGCAAUCACUUUUUAAGUUUCCAUGAAUGCAUUUCGUCGGAUUUCACUUUCCCCGGAUCAUUUUCUGCGUUUGAAUAUCUUCAACUCUAGCACUUAAAAAAAAAUCAAAAUACACAGUUGCAUUCAACGUUGUGUUUGAGAAUCAAGAAACACUAAAAAAUAGUUCAAACAUAACAACAUUGUUAUGGUAUGACAAAGUUUUCUAAAAGUUUUACCAUCCGUUUCAUGAUCUUCAUCAUGUUCUUGAGCCAAGCUUGGUGGAGGAAGUAAUAAAGAUGGAAAAUUCGAA